rnacentral:miRNA from 1 species
UGAGGUAGGCUCAGUAGAUGCG